GAUGAACGCUAGCGGCAGGCUUAAUACAUGCAAGUCGUGGGGCAGCGCAGUAUAGCAAUAUAUAGGCGGCGACCGGCAAACGGGUGCGUUACACGUACGCAACCUUCCCGUUACUGGGGAAUAGCCCAGGGAAACUUGGAUUAAUACCCCAUAUUAUAUAGAUCAGGCAUCUGGUUUAUAUCAAAGCUUCGGCGGUAACGGAUGGGCGUGCGGUUGAUUAGAUAGUUGGCGGGGUAACGGCCCACCAAGUCUACGAUCAAUAGCUGAGUGUGGGAGCAUGAUCAGCCACACGGGCACUGAGACACGGGCCCGACUCCUACGGGAGGCAGCAGUAAGGAAUAUUGGGCAAUGGACGCAAGUCUGACCCAGCCAUGCCGCGUGAAGGAUGAAGGUCCUCUGGAUUGUAAACUUCUUUUUUCUGGGGCGAAAACUAAUUUUUCUAAAUUACUUGACAGUACCAGAAGAAUAAGCACCGGCUAACUCCGUGCCAGCCGCCGCAGUAACAC
rnacentral:rRNA from 1 species